rnacentral:rRNA from 1 species
UCGGGAAUUUUGGGCAAUGGGCGAAAGCCUGACCCAGCAACGCCGCGUGAAGGAUGAAGUAUUUCGGUAUGUAAACUUCGAAAGAAUAGGAAGAAUAAAUGACGGUACUAUUUAUAAGGUCCGGCUAACUACGUGCCAGCAGCCGCGGUAAUACGUAGGGACCAAGCGUUGUUCGGAUUUACUGGGCGUAAAGGGCGCGUAGGCGGCAAUUCAAGUCAUCUGUGAAAUCUCCGGGCUUAACUCGGAACGGUCAGAUGAUACUGCUUUGCUAGAGUGCAGAAGGGGCAAUCGGAAUUCUUGGUGUAGCGGUGAAAUGCGUAGAUAUCAAGAGGAACACCUGAGGUGAAGACGGGUUGCUGGGCUGACACUGACGCUGAGGCGCGAAAGCCAGGGGAGCAAACGGGAUUAGAUACCCCUGUAGUCCCUGAGCGGGC